GAAAGCUCCUGGGUGCCGGCUAUGAGAAGUCAGGUGUGCGUAGGCGUGGACAGAGUGCCGAUGUGGGAGUCUGGACACCUGGAUUUUCUGGUCGGGGCUCUGUGUCCUUGGGCUAAACAUUCGCGGUUCCACUGGCUCCCUAACACUUGAAAUGAUGUUUGAAGUUGCCUGGAAGAAGUCUCUUCCUUUUUUCUCUCAGAGGUGAUGGAAGAAAAACCAGAACAUCUGGAGGGCCGCUUGAGUUUACAGCCACCACCUGGGUUCACACCCUCUUAGCUCCUUUCAAAGCUGAAGCUCCAGGAAAGGUCAUUUGGGGUGAUUCCAAGAUUCAAGAAGAUAUGCCCAGGCCUUUCUUUCUAGUCGCCUCUUAGUCCUGUUGUUCAGUGGUAUCACAAGCUCUUUAAGCUCCAAGGUCCUUGAAGAUCUUCCUAAAACCACUGCAGUGACAUCACCGAAGAAGUUAUGCAGCCCCAGGGCAACCUGAGCCAUGGUCUUCAUCUUUCCUGUCUCUUUGAGAAUUAGUGAGAAAAUUGGCUCAUCUGGGAUUCUACCCAUAGAAAUUCCCCACAGAGGGAGAGACAAUUAGCAAAAGGAAAACAUCUAAAAAUAGUCCUUUGUGCUGCAGCGGAACACGGUUUUCCGGUAGGGCUCUCCUAUUCUGGAACCCAAUACCUAGAGCUAUUUCCUUACUUUGAGGGAAGUGCUACUCCUGGAAAAAUAGCAAAUGAACAGGACAAUGCUGUGGUUCCCUCGACGGCACUUGAGCAGAGUGAACAGGUCCGUGUGUGAUUUUAAAACACAUAUGACCUCCUGAGCAUCAGUUUUUAUAUUUAUCACAACCCUCUCUGCCUCCUGGCAAGGUUGUGGCAAGAGUUCAAUUAGGUAAAACAUGUGAAAGUGCUUUGAAGAUUUUAAUUAUCUUUGCAACAUAAGGUGUUAUUACCAACUUCCCUGGGUUCUGGGUGUUAGACUAUUGACGUCUAAUACAGUGGCUCUGUUAUUUGAUUAUAGGAAGCAUUUAUGUGUGAGUCUUCUUACUCCACAACAGGAUUGUAAACUUUUAGGAUGCAAAGCAGGAAAGACAACUCAGUACAAUUAAUAUUCAAAUAGUGUACUGUAUUGUUUAAAUGGCUAUCACAGUGAUUCUUAUGACCAGAGAGGAAAUGGAUCAUCACAGUACUUAUAAAAACAAACUGAAGUAUUACAUUUAUAGAUUGUUUUGUUGGUAUUGAGCUUUCAGGUGAGUUCAGAGGGCACGUAACAUUUUAAUGCAAAAUAUUUUCUUACUGUAUAGUAUGGACAUUUGAUAAUAGUAAGCUCGUACUUUGUAAGUAUAUAUCAACAUAAGUUUCUACUUUGUAAGUAAGUAUGAAAGGGACUUGAUCAGUAGAAUUGUAUUACUUAGACAGUUUUUUAUUUUUUAAAAAAGGCUCUUACACUUAUCAGGAUUUCAAUGUUCAUGCUUUUUAAAGCAACUCCUCAUGUGAUUGUCACCCACUUCCACAAUUAGGCACACAGAGUACAGUCUUUCUGAAGUAUCUUGAGCAAUAUAUCAGAAUUCAUUUUUACAUGUAUCAUAACAUCCCAAAAAAGACAAAACAAAACAAAAAAAAUAGCCAGGAGCACAUGAAGGGUAAGAAAGUGAUGUAUUUUAGUUUGAACAAGAACAUUCAUCUUUUCUCCUUUCUGUGUAUUAUCCCAUAAGCCAAACUCAAAAUUUUACUGGCAAUAAUAUUUUUAAUUUUAUAUUCAGAUAUAUUAUUGUUUUAAUACCCAAAUUUUAAAUUAUGUUAUCUGUCUGUAGUUGGGAUUUUUUAAAGUUAGCCAUUCUUUCUGUUUUCUAAUUGACUUAGACAUCUUGGACAAAUUAUAGCAAGUGACUCACCAGUGUGGCUUCAAAAUAAAAUAAGUUAGCACUUUUUGAGAAGGAUUAGGAAUUCUGGUAUAUAAUGAUGGAUGAAUGUGUUUGAAUUCCUAGUACCUAAAUUUUUUCUUUUUAAAAAUAAUUACUAAGAGUUUGUAGAAAUUAAUAAUUGUGUAAGGGAGUUUUGAGAUAUUUAAAUUGUGACUUAUCUAAGAUAUUUUUCUAUUAAGACUAAACAUAGGCAUCUGUUCACUCUUGGCAUCAGCUGUGCAAUUAAUCAGUAUAUUUAUCUGUUUGGAAGAGAAUGUUGAAUUGGUAAUAACAUAUAAAGAAUCAUGCCAGGUUGCAAAACUUUUAUUGAAUAUAUCAAUGGCAAAAUGUCUGUUGAAUUGAUAUUAAAUUUAUUUUCACAAAGAAACCAACAUAUAAACUAAAAGAUGAAAAUCAGUACGAUAUCUAACAUGGCAUUUUUGUUCCAUGUUAUGCAUAUAGCCCAUUGACUCUGAAAGGGCACAAAACCAUGCCUGUAGCUCUCAUCUUAGCAAUACCUUCAAAUACAAUCUUGAUACUGUUUUUAAAAAAGCAAACAUGUUAUUUUAAAAUUUCUCUUCUUCCUUUUGUUCUUUUUUAUUUCUUUUUCCUUCCCCUCCCUGACUCCUGUUCCUCUUCUUCCUCCUUCUCCUUCUCUUCAUCUUCUUCAUCUUCGUUAUCUCCUUCUAUUAUUUUCCAAACUUUUUUAUCAUAAGUUUCCACUUAUGCAAAUGUUAUAAAAUAAGACUGAGAGUUCAUACAUACCAUUUACCCAAUUUCCCUAAUGUUAAUGACUUUCAUGACCAGUGUACAAAUAUCAAACCCAGAGCAUUUACACUAGUACCUUGUGAUUAACUAAACUACAAACUUUAUUCAGCUCUCACCAGCUAUGCAGCUCUCACCAGCUCUUCCCCACCCUCAUGUCCUUUUUCUGUACCAGAUCCAACUACGACCCAUAUUGCAUUUGAUUGUCAUGUCACUUGAAUCUCCUUCAAUCUGUGAUGGUCCCUCAGUCUCCCUGUCUUUCAGUACCUUGGCAUUUCUAAUAGGUAUUGGUCAAAUAUUUUGCGGAAUGUCUUUCAAUUUGGAUUUGUCCAAUGUCUUCUAAUGAUUAGUCUAAGGUUAUUCAUUUGGCAAGAAUGCCAUAGAAGUGAUGUUGUAUCCUUCUUAGUAUAUCAUUAUGGCAGGGGGGAGGGUACAUGAUGUCAGUUAGUGGUAUUAACCUUGAUUGCCUGGUUAAAGUUAUGUCUACUAGAUUUCCAUAUUGUAAAGUUACAUUUUUUUCAUUUAUAAUUGAUAAAUAUAUUGAGGAAAAAACUUUGAUGCUGUGCUAAUGUCCUAUUUUUCCUCAAACUUUUAUCCACUGAUUUUAGCAUCCAUUGACAGAUCUUGCUUGCAACAAUUAUUAAUGUGCAGUUUGCCCGGCAGUGACUUUUGUAUUUCCUUUAUUCUGUCUAAAGUAAUAGGAAUUCUGUAAGAGCUGUUCCUUCUCCUACAUUUAUUUAUGUAUUCAGUUAUUUAUUUAUAUCAGUAUGGCCUCAAGGAUAUUUAUUCUAAGGAUUAUAAUCCAAUACUAUCAUUAUUUAUUUUGUGGCUAAAAUUGUUCUGGCUUUAGCCAUUGGGAGAUCCUUCUGAUUUGCUAUUGUGUCCUUUUGACAUACCCCAAUUGUUUUUUAGCAGUUCCUUAAUUGUUUGGCAUCACAUAAUGUUCCAAGUUUAUUUUGUCCCCUCUACCCUAGCCCUGGAUUCAAAUGAUUGCCAAAUGAGUCUGGGUUCUUUCUUUGGAGAACAAUAGCAACCAACAUCUGAGCGCUAAGUGUCCUCAUUCUUACUGGGGUGUUAUUGCUCUCAGGUCCUCUCAGCAGAGAGAGCUAGGAAAUCUAUAUACACAUACACGUACAUCAUAUUUAUUUCUACAUUUCUAUCGGUAUAUCUUUUUAGAUAGAUUCUGAUAUAUCAUGUAGAGCUAGAGAUAGAGAUAGAUAUCGUUAAUACUUCAAUCCUAAGUCAAUACCACCAGGUUCAUUUUAUUUUUUGCCUUUUCCUUAUUUGUAACUUCUUUCUGACAGUGAAAGGCCUGACUUCCGUUAUUUAUAAUAUAUUCACUUAUUUAUUAAAUCCUACUAUACACUUAAGGUAGUUAGAGAAUUGCUAACUGAUACUCCUGUGAGAAACACUUAUUACAAGAGUACAGUAUUUAUGUACACUUAUUUUUGUCUUGAACUUUACAGUAUCCAAUCAAAAUACUAUUUUCUUUUGAAAGUGACUUAGGUUGCUUCUUUACUUGCCCAUCCUCUUCAGUGUGGUUUGGUUAUUCAUUUGUAAACUUAUAUUCCAUACACAUUGAUUUUAAUUAUUUAACUAGAUUUAGUUUACUUAAAUUAUUUUUUUUAUUUGGGUGCGUGAAACGUUACUAUGGUACUUAGAGUCAAAGCUUUACCAAAAAGUAUAGCUUGAUAAUCGUUAUUCCCUCAUUAUCCCUCCUGGCCAGUUCCUGUUCCCUCUUUUUUUCCACUUAUUUCCCAUGCACUGCCUAUAGGUAACUGGUUUCUUUAGUUUAUCUUGCCUGUGUUUCUUUUGUACAAAUGCACACACACUCUUCUAUGUAGUGGUCUUUUGAUUGUUUCCAGUAUUGUACUAUUAUAAACAAUGCUGCAAUAAGUAACCUUGUGUGUAGCAUUUUCAUAUUGUAGAAAACACUGCUAACCAAUACUCCUGUGAGAAAUACACUCUGUGUGCCUCCAGGGUAGCCUCCUAGAAAAAGAAAUGCUGGGUCGAAAAGUAUGUGUAUAGAUAUUUAUGCUAAGUAUUGCUGAAUUUUACUCCAGAAGGCUUGUAUGAAUUUAGAUUCCUGCCAGCAAUAUAUGAUUGCCUAUUUGCCCACAGCCUUACCAACAUAAUGUAUUGUCCUACUUUUUCAUUUAUGUCAGUGUGAUUGUAAUGUUUUAAUUUGCAUAUCUCUAAUUAUGAUUGAGUUUGAACAUUUUGUCAUUUGUUUGAGAACUUUUUUCUUAUCUUCAAAUAGAUACCUCCAGGAUUUGGGGCUGCAGUUGGACGUUUUCCAUCUCUUCUAAUAGCACUGUAACAAGUUGUCUUGAAUAAACACGAGCUCGUUAGCCAUAAGAAAACUUUAAAGAUGAGUUAUCUAAUUCAAAUGGAAGGAAAAUGUUUUUAAAUCAUCAUAGUAAAAUAUGAGCUGUUUAUUUUGCAAAAUAUGAGGUCAAUCAGUUCAGGAUAAUAAAUACUUAUGAAUGUCAAGGAAAAAAAGCAAUUGCU
rnacentral:lncRNA from 1 species